AACGAACGCUGGCGGCAGGCCUAACACAUGCAAGUCGAGCGCCCUUUCGGGGGAGCGGCGGACGGGUGAGUAACGCGUGGGAAUAUGCCCUUCUCUACGGAAUAGCCUCGGGAAACUGAGAGUAAUACCGUAUACGCCCUAUGGGGGAAAGAUUUAUCGGGGAAGGAUUAGCCCGCGUUGGAUUAGGUAGUUGGUGGGGUAAUGGCCUACCAAGCCGACGAUCCAUAGCUGGUUUGAGAGGAUGAUCAGCCACACUGGGACUGAGACACGGCCCAGACUCCUACGGGAGGAAGGAGUGGGGAAUCUUAGACAAUGGGGGCAACCCUGAUCUAGCCAUGCCGCGUGAGUGAUGAAGGCCUUAGGGUUGUAAAGCUCUUUCAGCUGGGAAGAUAAUGACGGUACCAGCAGAAGAAGCCCCGGCUAACUCCGUG
rnacentral:rRNA from 1 species